rnacentral:rRNA from 1 species
AGGGAGGCUAAACUGCAAGUCGAGCGAGCUUGCCUAGAUGAUUUUAGUGCUUGCACUAAAUGAAACUAGAUACAAGCCAGUGGCGGACGGGUGAGUAACACGUGGGUAACCUGCCCAAGAGACUGGGAUAACACCUGGAAACAGAUGCUAAUACCGGAUAACAACACUAGACGCAUGUCUAGAGUUUGAAAGAUGGUUCUGCUAUCACUCUUGGAUGGACCUGCGGUGCAUUAGCUAGUUGGUAAGGUAACGGCUUACCAAGGCAAUGAUGCAUAGCCGAGUUGAGAGACUGAUCGGCCACAUUGGGACUGAGACACGGCCCAAACUCCUACGGGAGGCAGCAGUAGGGAAUCUUCCACAAUGGACGAAAGUCUGAUGGAGCAACGCCGCGUGAGUGAAGAAGGGUUUCGGCUCGUAAAGCUCUGUUGGUAGUGAAGAAAGAUAGAGGUAGUAACUGGCCUUUAUUUGACGGUAAUUACUUAGAAAGUCACGGCUAACUACGUGCCAGCAGCCGCGGUAAUACGUAGGUGGCAAGCGUUGUCCGGAUUUAUUGGGCGUAAAGCGAGUGCAGGCGGUUCAAUAAGUCUGAUGUGAAAGCCUUCGGCUCAACCGGAGAAUUGCAUCAGAAACUGUUGAACUUGAGUGCAGAAGAGGAGAGUGGAACUCCAUGUGUAGCGGUGGAAUGCGUAGAUAUAUGGAAGAACACCAGUGGCGAAGGCGGCUCUCUGGUCUGCAACGGACGCUGAGGCU